AGCAGAUAAUUUCGCUGCUCGGUUUGGUGACGCUCAUCGGGACUUUCCGUGAAGCAUCGUAUCCAAGUAGUAUCACUUUGGAAUACAUCGAGGAUUAAGUUAAUCAGUGAUAAUGCACAUAAUUGACAGACAUGGAGGACCACCUCUCACCUCCCAACUUUUAAAUAAGGUUCCUGAUUGCAUUUCGAACUGGGACAUCUGUGGUACUAAGUAAUUCAGCUUUCCUUACUUUGAUUGGCAUCGCUUGAAGUUAGCAACAUCAUUGUGAU